CCUACGUGAGGCAGCAGUGGGGAAUAUUGCACAAUGGGGGAAACCCUGAUGCAGCGACGCCGCGUGAGUGAAGAAGUAUUUCGGUAUGUAAAGCUCUUUCAGCAGGGAAGAAAAUGACGGUACCUGAUUAAUAAGCCCCGGCUAACUACGUGCCAGCAGCCGCGGUAAUACGUAGGGUGCAAGCCUUAUCCGGUUUUACUGAGUGGAAAGGGAGCGUAGACGGCAGCACAAGUCUGGAGUGAAAGGCCGGGGCUUAACCCCGGAACUGCAUUGGAAACUGUGCAGCUAGAGUGCAGGAGAGGUAAGUGGAAUGCCUAGUGUAGCGGUGAAAUGCGUAGAUAUGAGGAGGAACACCAGUGGCGAAGGCGGCUUACUGGAAUGUAACUGACGUUGAGGCUCGAAAGCGUGGGGAGCAAACAGGAUUAGAUACCCUUGUAGUC
rnacentral:rRNA from 1 species